GACGAACGCUGGCGGCGUGCCUAACACAUGCAAGUCGAACGAAGUGGCGGACGGGUGAGUAACGUGUAAUCAACCUGCCCUUCAGGGGGGGACAAUACUUGGAAACGACUGCUAUUACCGCAUACGGAAGGAGGGGAUUGCGUCUGAUUAGCUCGUUGGAGGGGUAACGGCCCACCAAGGCGAUGAUCAGUAGCCGGUCUGAGAGGAUGAUCAGUCACACUGGAACUGAGACACGGUCCAGACUCCUACGGGAGGCAGCAGUGGGGAAUAUUGGACAAUGGGCGAAAGCCUGAUCCAGCCAUGCCGCGUGUGUGAAGAAGGUCUUCGGAUUGUAAAGCACUUUAAGUUGGGAGGCGUUACCAACAGAAUAAGCACCGGCUAACUUCGUGCCAGCAGCCGCGGUAAUUC
rnacentral:rRNA from 1 species